GACAGAGGGUGCAAACGUUGUUCGGAAUUACUGGGCGUAAAGCGCGUGUAGGCGGCUUGGCAAGUCGGAUGUGAAAGCCCACGGCUCAACCGUGGAAGCGCAUCCGAAACGGCCUCGCUCGAGUCUCGGAGAGGAAGGUGGAAUGCUUGGUGUAGAGGUGAAAUUCGUAGAUAUCAAGCAGAACACCUGCGGCGAAGGCGGCCUUCUGGACGAUGACUGACGCUGAGACGCGAAAGCGUGGGGAGCAAACAGG
rnacentral:rRNA from 1 species